rnacentral:tRNA from 1 species
GCAGUCAUGGCCGAGUGGUUCAGGCGGUGGACUAGAAAUCCAUUGGGGUUUCCCCGCACAGGUUCGAAUCAUGUCGACUGCG